rnacentral:misc_RNA from 1 species
GAUGAAGAACGUAGCGAAAUGCGAUAAGUAAUGUGAAUUGCAGAAUUCCGUGAAUCAUCGAAUCUUUGAACGCACAUUGCGCCCCCUGGCAUUCCGGGGGGCAUGCCUGUCCGAGCGUCAUUUCUGCCCUCCAGCCCGGCUGGGUGUUGGGCGCUGUCCCCCCGGGGACACGCCCCAAAGGCAGUGGCGGCGCCGCGUCGGGUCCUCGAGCGUAUGGGGCUUUGUCACCCGCUCGGGACGGACUCGUCGGCGCUGGUCUUCCUCCAGGCGACCCUUCGGGGCUCGUCUUCCUUCGGUUGACCUCGGAUCAGGUAGGGUUACCCGCUUAACUUCAGCAUAUCAAUAAGCGGAGGA